rnacentral:lncRNA from 1 species
GGACGUCUGGGCGUCCUUCUAUUCAAGCUCUGUGGGUGUUAGCAUUGCAGUCAAGGAUCGACCUGGGUCCCAAAUGGAAUUAGAGGGAUACCCCAGUUAGUUUUUUGCUGUUGUUGGAAACGGAUGCAGGAUUCUAUAGUUCUUUCUCACCUUUAAACCAAGUGCCCUGAGACUCUGUAUGGGGAUGGCAUUCGCUGCAAAACCUGGAAUAAUUGGGGCCUCUUAAUCCUUAUAUUUUGGUCAGAACUGCCGUGCUAAUUCCUUUGGAUUUCCACUUUACAACGCGCAUCCCCAUGGCAACAGCAGCUCCGGGGCAUCACUGCAGCCAAAGCCCCUGUGAUGGCACAUCCUACGAACGGCUGUCUGCGCAGCUGUGGCCCAGAGUCUCUCAGCUUCUUGUGGGUGGAGAGUGUGGCCUACCUGCUCUGGGCAGGUCAUCACUGGGCUGCGGCCCAUCCCUUUAUCUCCGCCGCUGCUGCUUGUUCCACCAGGCUUUCCCUUAACCAUUGAGUCAUGACUGGCUCCUGCAAGCUGUUCGAUGAAACUACAGAUGAAACUCUUCUGGUCACCUCCAAGCCUCAAUGAAGAGUGAACACUUUCUUCUUUCUCAGCCCAUCCUCCUGGGGGAAGAGGUGCCUGAAUUCAGCUGAUGGGGUUGGACAAGGUUUGCAGUGGAGAAAUGAAGCUAAUGGGAUCUUGUGUGGAGCCCGAUGUCUUUGCUGCUUCUACACCUGAAUACAUCACAGGAACUGAUGGAUUAUACGCUUGCACUUUUCCAGUCCCUUAAGGGUUAGAGGGGGUUUUUCCAUUCAGGGACUGCUGUAUGUAGAGAGUGACAGUGGGACAUGCAGAUCACUCCCCAACCCACCUCUCUUUCCCCUCCCAGAUGAUCCAG